UUCAGUACCUGGUAUCCCCAAGGACGGCACUGGGCAAGAUACUUCAGACUCCGUUCAUGCGAGGAGAAGAGGGGUUUCUUCUCUGUGGUUAAUAACAUGGGAAGAUAUUCUUCCUUCCAGAUUCUCUGUCUCCUAUCUCAAGAAGAUGAAUGUUGUCAAUAUAACUCAUUCCUGUACUGGAGAACCCCGUUGCCUACUCUGGAUUUGUCCGACAUUCAGGAUCUAGAGACUGGAUCUCCGUCUCCAUCAGGGUCUUCGUCUAGAGAUGGAGAAACUGUACUGGCAACUAAAACUCCUUCGCGGACUGAUACCAUGGAGACUGAAAUGGAGACCUGAUCAUGUAGCUUAGGGCUGCACAUGAACUUGCAGGAAGGUCGUUCUUCUGCCUGGCAGGACAACCAGGCUGCUUCUGACUUCUUGAAGAAGCCGUGCUGUGUCCUUCUGCAGAGACAAGGUUACCCARGCUGAUGGAAGAGUCACUUGUAGAUACCUACCAGUAAGCUGGCUGGAGAGGUAAAUUAAUCUAUAGAGUGAGGAGGAUGCUGUGCUUAUCUAGGAAGAAUGCUUGAAAACAUGAAGGCAAACUCAAAGGAAACUACUCAAAAUCGUAACUAGAUGCUAUUGUUAGAAACAGCUUGAUAUAUAACAUACAGGGAAGAAAUGGAAGAUGAUUCCACUGGUCCUGAGCAAAAAGGUUGUAAUUGCAGUGCAGCAAAAUUCAGUCUUUAUCCUGUGAGGUUUUUUUUAAACAUAUUCCCCCGAAGUGCAGUGUUUCCUAGUGCAUCRUUUUCCCUUUAAUAGCUCAACCAAAAAAAUAAGAGCCCACCAAAAUGAAAAUGACCGUUACCUUUUCUGUUCAAGCCAAAUCAGCAGCAGCGUGGAGAGGGAAGGAAAAGGGAUUCUUUUCUUCUGCAGACUGUUUUAAAAGUUGCUUCGCAGUUGGCUCAUGAAGCAGCAAACAGCUAGUUUGUAGGCAUUUGGUCCGUUCUCAACGCUGUUCCUAUUCCUUUUGACAGUAGCUCUGAACCAAUUAGUGAUGAAAGGCAGGCAUGUGCAAAGCUGUCGAGAAAAGUUAGUGCAUCUUAAAGCUAUCGUGUGUGCUUUCUAGCUGACUGAGGUCUGGUUUUUGCAAAGACCGUGGAUCUUGAAUGCUUGCUUUCUUUUUUUCUACACAAGUUUAUUGAAUUAGUGGAUUUUUGUUAUGAAUUAUGAACUUAAUUUUUAUCUUUUAUUUAUUUUACGAAUAUUUGUUUUCAGUAAUAGAGUGAGAUUUUAAGUUUCUGUCAGACUUUCAGACCUCAAAAAUGUGAUUUUAUUUAAGCACAGUGAAUACAGCUGGGAUUUUUGUU